UACGUAGGGGGCAAGCGUUGUCCGGAAUCAUUGGGCGUAAAGAGCGUGUAGGCGGUCCGGUAAGUCGGUUGUGAAAGUCCAGGGCUCAACCCUGGGAUGCCGAUCGAUACUGUCGGACUAGAGUUCGGAAGAGGCGAGUGGAAUUCCCGGUGUAGCGGUGAAAUGCGCAGAUAUCGGGAGGAACACCAAUGGCGAAGGCAGCUCGCUGGGACGUUACUGACGCUGAGACGCGAAAGCUAGGGGAGCAAACGGG
rnacentral:rRNA from 1 species